UACGUAGGGUGCGAGCGUUAAUCGGAAUUACUGGGCGUAAAGCGUGCGCAGGCGGUUUUGUAAGCCAGAUGUGAAAUCCCCGGGCUUAACCUGGGAAUGGCAUUUGGGACUGCAAGGCUGGAGUGCGGCAGAGGAGACUGGAAUUCCUGGUGUAGCAGUGAAAUGCGUAGAUAUCAGGAGGAACACCGAUGGCGAAGGCAGGUCUCUGGGCUGACACUGACGCUCUUGCACGAAAGCGUGGGGAGCAAACAGG
rnacentral:rRNA from 1 species